GGAAAACGUUUAACUUCAAAGACAGGGAUAUUUUCGGAAUCAGGACACAAAUAAUCAUCACCUUCAGGGACGGAUACGCAACGGAACAAGCAGCAGAGUGUGCUUCUGUGUCUCCCUCGUAACAUUUCCACCGCAGCAUUGACUGCCAUAUGGCGGCCACUCGACUCCUUUCGUCCGGGCCCUCUCUCCAAAACCCUAAACUCUCUCGCCCCACCCGCCCGAUCGAUUUUCUUCCUCGAUCCUCGGGACUCAAAUUCUCGAAGAAGAUUGUGAGCCACGGCAUUAGAUGCGACAUCACCAGCUUCGAAUUCGACAAGCCCCGGAAUUGGACCGAUCCGUUUCAUGUGAUCGGAAACUCUUCUCCUUCUUCCCAUUCUUCCUCUUCGGUGCCAAUGGCUGCCGCUGCUGCCCGCGAUCCCCCUGCGAAGGGUGUGAAGAAGGUCUGCCUCUUUUACUGCGCCGAGACCAAGGCCCUGGCCGAGCGAGUCGCCGCCGAGUCAGAUGCGAUUGAGCUCCGUGGCAUUAACUGGAGAACAUUUGACGAUGGAUUCCCCAACUUGUUCAUACCUAAUGCUCAAGGUAUCCGUGGACAGCAUGUCGCGUUUCUGGCCUCGUUCAGUUCUCCCAGAGUUAUUUUUGAGCAGCUCUCUGUCGUCUAUGCGUUGCCGAAAUUAUUCAUCUCGUCUUUCACCCUCGUCCUUCCUUUCUUCCCCACUGGAACUUCCGAGCGUAUGGAGGACGAAGGAGAUGUUGCAACAGCUUUCACUCUUGCUAGGAUUUUGUCAAACAUACCAAUUUCGAGGGGAGGCCCUACUAGCCUUGUGACCUUCGAUAUCCAUGCUUUGCAGGAGAGGUUCUACUUUGGUGAUAAUAUUCUUCCUUGCUUUGAGAGCGGGAUACCUUUGCUUAAAAAUAGGCUCCAAGAGCUCCCUGAUUCCAACAAUAUUGCCAUUGCUUUUCCAGAUGAUGGUGCUUGGAAACGAUUUCAUAAGCAGCUGCACCAUUUCCCAAUGAUUGUUUGUGCUAAAGUUCGGGAAGGAGACAAACGAAUAGUUCGUAUCAAGGAAGGAGAUCCUGCGGGACGGCAUGUCGUGAUCGUUGAUGAUUUAGUCCAAUCAGGUGGUACUCUUGUUGAAUGUCAGGAGAAACAGCUGAUGAAUUGAAUUGAUCAUUUGAAGGUAUUUUAAGUACAAGAAGUGGGUCGAAAGGGAUGUGAGAUGAGGCACUGAUAUAGAGGCCUAUAAUGCUAAUGAAUAGUUAUAUAUUGAUAUUGCCAAAAAAACUAGAUUUGGCUAGAUGGCCGUGGAUCUUUGGGGUAAGAUUUACUUUAAAAAAAAUCUUUGGGGUAAGGUCUUACUGGUUUGUGAACAGCAACUUGGGGAGUUGGAUAAAUAAUGCUGUUUUGUGUGGCUGAUCUCCGAAAAGGUAAAGCUUUAAGGGGGUGAUAACUUCUGAUUUACUUGUAUUGUCUCUAAAACUGCUUGAAGGUUGCUGCUGCUGAAUUGGUUAUUACAAAAAAUGGUAACUGAUAAAAACUCAUGGUUAGUAUUUCCAUAAGUGUUCUUACCUGCUGCUUCAUGUAGCAUUUGUGUACAUCAACUGAGACGUAUGUGUUAUAGCUGCCACCAGGACCAAGUGAGAGUAUUGGCUGCACAUGGAGCAACAAAAAUUAGUGCUUAUGUGACGCAUGGGAUAUUUCCUAAUAGGUCGUGGAAACGCUUUGAACAUGACAAUGGAGGGAAUCCUGAGAAUGGGCUGACCUACUUCUGGAUAACAGACUCGUGUCCAAAGACAGUAAAGGCGGUGAAGAACAAACCACCAUUUGAAGUUCUUAGCCUUGCUGGUUCUAUAGC